UACAGGGGGUGCAAACGUUGCUCGGAAUCACUGGGCGUAAAGCGCGCGUAGGCGGUUUGUUAAGUGGGAUGUGAAAUCCCCGGGCUUAACCUGGGAAUUGCAUUUCAAACUGGCCGACUAGAGUACGGUAGAGGGAGGUAGAAUUUCCUGUGUAGCGGUGAAAUGCGUAGAUAUAGGAAGGAAUACCAGUGGCGAAGGCGGCCUCCUGGAUCGAUACUGACGCUGAGGCGACGAAAGCGUGGGGAGCAAACAGG
rnacentral:rRNA from 1 species